rnacentral:rRNA from 1 species
GUCCACGCCGUAAACGAUGUCAACUAGCCGUUGGGUCCAAUUAAGGGCUUAGUGGCGCAGCUAACGCGAUAAGUUGACCGCCUGGGGAGUACGGCCGCAAGGUUAAAACUCAAAGGAAUUGACGGGGCCCGCACAAGCGGUGGAGCAUGUGGUUUAAUUCGAUGCAACGCGAAGAACCUUACCAGCUCUUGACAUCCAGAGAACCCUUGAGAGAUUGAGGGGUGCCUUCGGGAACUCUGAGACAGGUGCUGCAUGGCUGUCGU